CUCACGCAAGAUGGUCCCACCCCCACCGACACUCCCUCCUCCUCCGUGCGUUGGCCUUCCCUUUCCUUGGACUGAAUCCAACUAUCUUCCAUUUUCUUUUAAUUGUGACUUCACCGAAGCAGCCCUUCCAUUUUGGAUCCCACAGCCGCACGCCCCCACCGAUUUCCCCCGUUUCUGUCCACGCGUCUUCAGCAUCUUCGCCCAUGGUCAACAACCCAGCAAAUCCUCCCCUUCGGUUGACUCCAGCAACCAUCAAUCCUCUUUCUUCUCCGCCUUCAUGUCCGCGACUCCGCCUGCUGAAGCCCACAAAGCCAGCUCCACGAUUUCUUCGAAGCCCACGCAGCAGCUUCACCGUUCCUCGAUUUCUCGGCCCGCUCCAUUCGGCCGCUUGAAGGCCCGUCUCCACCAAAUCAGCAAGGUCAGUAGCACGAGAGCAGAGAUUCCAGCCAAGCUGCGAGCUUGCGUGGCCGAUUUCAGGCCAUUCCGGCCCCCGUUGGCAUCAUCGCUUUGGAGAGGAUUGAGCCUCGCCGCGUCCCCGUCGAUUUGAACCGAGCGGUUCGUUAAACAAGUCCUUAGAUGAUGUUGGUGGAGGACCGGAAGCCUCGAAGUUUGAAAAGGUGGAUAGACCAGAAUCGGUAAACAAGUUUGACUAGUAUGUUAUAGGAUAGUUCCUUUUAGAAUGAGCCGACCUUUUUGUAAAUAGUCUGGUCUUGUAAAAAAACUUGGUUGUUUAUAAAAUGUUUGUUUUGGUUUGAAAA